GGUGUGGACGGGUGGAAUGAGUUGUGGGUGAAUCACUGUGAAAAGUUCGUGCAUGUACUGACUUGUGAGUGCAUUUUUUUUAAUUGUUCAGCUCACAAAGAUAAAAAAUCACUUGUGCUCAUCUGUUUAGAAAGUACAGAAACUUUUAUCGGAUAAAACGGUGCUAAGUGAAAGGAGUUUGGGUAAAAAAAAAAAAAAUUCUGAUGCGGAUUUCAUGUCAUUGUUAGUGGAAACAGUGGUAAUUAAAUAGUUGCAGAAAAGUGAAACAAAUAUAUCGCUGUUGUUUACGAGUGAAACAUUUUUUGUGUAAGACUUUCGAAAGGAACUUAAAUGCCGUUACACGCUCAUCGAAAUCCGACCGAAUGAUUGUCAAGAAAACGAAAUUGGACACGUUUAAGAAGAAAUUUUAGCAAGAGUCGCAGAAUUAUUUUCACGUCAGUAGACCAGAUUGGAGUAUCAGCUGCUGCUGCUGCUGCUGCUUGAGACGAAGUUUAACUGGUGGCAGCUGCUAAGGGCAGCGGAGCGAGGCCUGAGCACGCCGCCCGUCCCAGCCCAGCCACGUGACCGGCUAGCGAGGG